rnacentral:tRNA from 1 species
GGGUACGUAGCUUACUGGCAGAACAUCUGCUUUGUAUUCAGAAGGCCCCAGGUUCAAUCCCUGGCAUUUCCA